rnacentral:rRNA from 1 species
CGGAGAAUUGCUAGCUUGCUAAUAAUUCUCUAGUGGCGCACGGGUGAGUAACACGUGAGUACCUGCCCCCAAGAGUGGGAUAGCCCCGGGAAACUGGGAUUAAUACCGCAUAAAGCAAUAAAGCAGCAAUGCGCUUGGGGAUGGGCUCGCGUCCUAUUAGUUAGUUGGUGAGGUAACGGCUCACCAAGGCGAUGACGGGUAGCCGGUCUGAGAGGAUGUCCGGCCACACUGGAACUGAGACACGGUCCAGACACCUACGGGUGGCAGCAGUCGAGAAUCAUUCACAAUGGGGGAAACCCUGAUGGUGCGACGCCGCGUGGGGGAUAAGGUCUUCGGAUUGUAAACCCCUGUCAUGUGGGACAUUAAAAAGAUAGUACCACAAGAGGAAGAGACGGCUAACUCUGUGCCAGCAGCCGCGGUAAUACAGAGGUCUCAAGCGUUGUUCGGAAUCACUGGGCGUAAAGCGUGCGUAGGCGGUUUCGUAAGUCGUGUGUGAAAGGCGGGGGCUCAACCCCCGGACUGCACAUGAUACUGCGAGACUAGAGUAAUGGAGGGGGAACCGGAAUUCUCGGUGUAGCAGUGAAAUGCGUAGAUAUCGAGAGGAACACUCGUGGCGAAGGCGGGUUCCUGGACAUUAACUGACGCUGAGGCACGAAGGCCAGGGGAGCGAAAG